AUAUCUCUCUGUACGGGAAGGAUGAGAAGCUUCGACCAAGGUUCGAUUCGAGCGCAGCGAGAAAGCGUU
rnacentral:sRNA from 2 species